UAAUGCAUAGGAAUCUGCCCGGUAGUGGGGGAUAACCUGGGGAAACCCAGGCUAAUACCGCAUACGUCCUACGGGAGAAAGCAGGGGCUCUUCGGACCUUGCGCUAUCGGAUGAGCCUAUGUCGGAUUAGCUGGUUGGUGAGGUAAUGGCUCACCAAGGCGACGAUCCGUAGCUGGUCUGAGAGGAUGAUCAGCCACAUCGGGACUGAGACACGGCCCGAACUCCUACGGGAGGCAGCAGUGGGGAAUAUUGGACAAUGGGCGCAAGCCUGAUCCAGCCAUGCCGCGUGUGUGAAGAAGGCCCUCGGGUUGUAAAGCACUUUCAGUGGGGAAGAAAGCCUUCCGGUUAAUACCCGGGAGGAAGGACAUCACCCACAGAAGAAGCACCGGCUAACUCCGUGCCAGCAGCCGCGGUAAUACGGAGGGUGCGAGCGUUAAUCGGAAUUACUGGGCGUAAAGCGCGCGUAGGUGGCUUGAUAAGCCGGUUGUGAAAGCCCCGGGCUCAACCUGGGAACGGCAUCCGGAACUGUCGGAUUAGAGUGCAGGAGAGGGAAGUAGAUUCCCGUGUAGCGUGUAAUGCGUAGAGAUCGGGAGGAAUACCAGUGCGAAGGCGGCUUCUGGACUGACACUGACACUGAGGUGCGAAAGCGUGGGUAGCAAACAGGAUUAGAUACCCUGGUAGUCCACGCCGUAAACGAUGUCGACUAGCCGUUGGGUCCUUCGCGGACUUUGUGGCGCAGUUAACGCGAUAAGUCGACCGCCUGGGGAGUACGGCCGCAAGGUUAAAACUCAAAUGAAUUGACGGGGGCCCGCACAAGCGGUGGAGCAUGUGGUUUAAUUCGAUGCAACGCGAAGAACCUUACCUACCCUUGACAUCCUCGGAAUCCGCCAGAGAUGGCGGAGUGCCUUCGGGAACCGAGAGACAGGUGCUGCAUGGCUGUCGUCAGCUCGUGUUGUGAAAUGUUGGGUUAAGUCCCGUAA
rnacentral:rRNA from 1 species